GCAAAGCUUCCACUCCAUUGAAAUUACAUAUAACCAACGACUUGAGGGCAGUGAGGCGUUGUAGUUGAUCUGGCAAAGACUUCAUUCUACCUUCAUAAUCCCCAUAUACCCCUAAGUCCUCAAGGGAUGGGAGGUCUUGAAUUGAAUUCAGAUAAGGAAAACCAUCCAACCCCUUAGAGAAACCACCAACAUGUAAAAUCCUCAAUCCGAAAAGCCCUCCUAAU
rnacentral:misc_RNA from 1 species